CCCUUAGAUGUUCUGGGCAGCACGCGCGCUACAAUGGUCUUCGCAAACGGAUGCAUUCUCGAAGGAGAAUGCCAAUCUUGGAAUCUAUGCCUUGGUCGGGACAGUUGCUUGCAAUUUUUCGACUCGAACCAGGAAUUCCUUGUAAUCGUGAUUCAUCACAUCACGAUGAAUACGUCCCUGCCCUUUGUACACACCGCCCGUCGCUCCUACCGAUCGAAGAGUUAGGUGAAUUGUUUUGAUCGAUAAGAUUUGACUAUGGUCAACUCUCGUUGUGAAAUUCUCUGAAGCUGACUGUUUAGAGGAAGGAAAAGUCGUAACA
rnacentral:rRNA from 1 species